AUUUUUUCAUAUAUUAGAAUGCUAAUUACCUUCUGCUUACUAAAAAUUGCAGAUAAUAAUUCUUCUAUUUGCAUGGGUACCUGUUGGAAAUGUAUUUAAAGAAAUCCCAAGUAGAGUCCAAUCUGAACUGAAGAACGAGGUUCAGUUAUAGACUAUAUUAGUGAUUGCUAACAAUGAUCCCUAUAUUCAACAAUAUCUACAACGAUAAAUACCUAUCACCUGUGCCAUAGUAUAACAGAUCAAAAAUUGUACAUAACUAACAUAAAAUCGCAGCUAGCGUUAAGGACGUUGUGAUUCGAUAUUUAAGCUUAAAAAUAACCCUUGGAACAAAAACGAACAUUAUAAAAAUUAAGCAAAAAGUAUUUUUAUACCACGUUACCUUUUUACUGCCUCUCCCUGACUUUAUCGGCUUAGCGAAAUGGAGUGAAGUUACCAUAUAUAAACCUGAAUAGUAUUAAGAUAUACCUACACUGUAUUGGUGAUAUAGCUUGCAAAGAUAAGAAUAUAAAAUUAUUGUUGAAUGUAAACUUCUCUAAUC